rnacentral:rRNA from 1 species
CCUGAGAAAUCCAAAAGAUCGAAUGGGGAGAUUCACCGUCAGCGUAUCGGCUCGCUUGCGAACGCGAUGUUCGACGUGCCUUCGGUGCGUAGCCACGCGUUCGCUGGUCGUGUCCGAUUAUCGUUGGUGUGCACUUCUCCCCUAGUAGAACGUCGCGACCCGUUGGGUGUCGGCCUACGGUACGGCAAGGUAGACUGUCGCGUCGCGUUCGCGCGCGCACGCGGCAGACCGUCGUUAUACCCGGCCGGCUGCCCGGCGGUAUAAGUCAUCGAACCGAUUGACAAUGGUAACGGGCCGCACGAUACAUCGAUCGUUUUCUUUUCAAGAAGACGAUCGUGUUAAUGCGUCAGGCUCGUCGGCAGGUCACCCGCGCACGGAUUUACGAACCCAGCGUCGUAUCCGGCCGCGGAUCGGUGUCCGUUAGUCGACGAUGUCCUCGGACGGGCCUCUCGCCUUAUGGCGUUUUACCGGUCGGCGACGCUACUGCUUUGGGUACUUUCAGGACCCGUCUUGAAACACGGACCAAGGAGUCUAACAUGUGCGCGAGUCAUUGGGUUGUUUUAAAAGCGAAUAAGCCUAAAGGCGCAAUGAAAGUGAAGGUCGACCCCAGUGUCGAUCGAGGGAGGAUGGCCCGGGCUCGCUCGGGUCCGCACUCCCGGGGCGUCUCACGGUCGUUUCACCAGAGGCCACCCAGACGUACACGUUGGGACCCGAAAGAUG